CAUUAGAUGACUGAAAGUAAGUACUGGUCUCUUAAACCAUUUUAUAGUAAUUCACAACUACUUCUAAUG
rnacentral:tRNA from 1 species